rnacentral:rRNA from 1 species
UACGAAGGGUGCAAGCGUUACUCGGAAUUACUGGGCGUAAAGCGUGCGUAGGUGGUUUGUUAAGUCUGUUGUGAAAGCCCCGGGCUCAACCUGGGAAUGGCAAUGGAUACUGGCAAGCUAGAGUGCGGUAGAGGGUAGUGGAAUUCCCGGUGUAGCGGUGAAAUGCGUAGAGAUCGGGAGGAACACCGAUGGCGAAGGCAGCCCCCUGGGCCAAAACUGACGCUCAGGCACGAAAGCGUGGGGAGCAAACAGGG